CAGCCGCCGCGGUAAUACAGAGGGUGCGAGCGUUAAUCGGAUUUACUGGGCGUAAAGCGUGCGUAGGCGGCUUUUUAAGUCGGAUGUGAAAUCCCUGAGCUUAACUUAGGAAUUGCAUUCGAUACUAAGAAGCUAGAGUAUGGGAGAGGAUGGUAGAAUUCCAGGUGUAGCGGUGAAAUGCGUAGAGAUCUGGAGGAAUACCGAUGGCGAAGGCAGCCAUCUGGCCUAAUACUGACGCUGAGGUACGAAAGCAUGGGGAGCAAACAGGAUUAGAUACCCGAGUAGUCCCUGUCUCUUAUAC
rnacentral:rRNA from 1 species